ensembl:tRNA
GGGGGCAUAGCUCAGGGGUAGAGCGCUCGCUUCGCAUGCGAGAAGUCCGGGGUUCAAUUCCCCGUGCCUCCA